rnacentral:rRNA from 1 species
AGCGAACGCUGGCGGCAUGCCUAACACAUGCAAGUCGAACGAGACCUUCGGGUCUAGUGGCGCACGGGUGCGUAACGCGUGGGAACCUGCCCUUAGGUUCGGAAUAACUCCCCGAAAGGGGUGCUAAUACCGGAUAAUGUCUUCGGACCAAAGAUUUAUCGCCUUUGGAUGGGCCCGCGUUGGAUUAGCUAGUUGGUAGGGUAAAAGCCUACCAAGGCGACGAUCCAUAGCUGGUCUGAGAGGAUGAUCAGCCACACUGGGACUGAGACACGGCCCAGACUCCUACGGGAGGGAGCAGUGGGGAAUAUUGGACAAUGGGCGAAAGCCUGAUACAGCAAUGCCGCGUGAGUGAUGAAGGCCUUAGGGUUGUAAAGCUCUUUUACCCGGGAUGAUAAUGACAGUACCGGGAGAAUAAGCUCCGGCUAACUACGUG